UACGUAGGGUGCAAGCGUUAAUCGGAAUUACUGGGCGUAAAGCGUGCGCAGGCGGUUUUGUAAGUCUGUCGUGAAAGCCCCGGGCUCAACCUGGGAAUGGCGAUGGAGACUGCAAGGCUAGAGUGUGUCAGAGGGGGGUAGAAUUCCACGUGUAGCAGUGAAAUGCGUAGAGAUGUGGAGGAACACCGAUGGCGAAGGCAGCCCCCUGGGAUAACACUGACGCUCAUGCACGAAAGCGUGGGGAGCAACAGG
rnacentral:rRNA from 1 species